AUUCGCCCCGCCUGUGGUCUGUCACUUCCCAGAGGGAUUACUUCUCUUUCUCUUCUGUUCCCGGUGUCUGUGAGGCGCGGGGAGCAGCCUGGUGACAUCUCGCUCUCACUCUUCCACCGAAGAAAUCGAGCGCCCGGAGGCGGGAGAUGAGGCCUGUCCGCCCACCCCGUGGGGCCACCUGCUGUCAGUGGACUCCCCCCGCCCUCGACUUUAGGCUGGCGGCGUGGGGCGUGGGGAGCGCGGGGAGUGCGGCCUCAUCACUCACCUGCCGGGUGACCUUGGGCGAACCUAGCCACAGUCCCCGCCAUGGCCAGGGUGGCGGGCCCCUCCCCGCUGACUGGUGAGGAUUCCGUGGCCUCGUGCGCGGGAAACACCAGGCGCGUCGUUAAGCAGUGUGGAGCCCGAGCGGUGAGCCGGAGCCAGUCUCCUGAGCUUCGGGGCUCACAGAGGGGGGAGGUAAGAGCAUGUACACGUAAAGGUGCAGGCUGCAGAACGGGAGGAAGCCUCCCUUCCUCCCCAUGGCCCCAGAGGUGACCACUGUUACCUGUUUCUCCUGGAACCUUCCAGGGAUGUGCUAGGCAUGUUUAGGAAAUACUUACACUUUUUUCUCUUUAGCGAUGGCUGGGUUUCAAUUUUCUUUUCUUUUCUUUUUUAAACACAAGUAGUAGCCUGUACGCCCAUUGUUCUGUACGUUGUAGAACAUAUAAUAUGUUGGAGGUUGUCCAAGUCAGUACCUAAGGCUAUGCCUCUUUUUUAACAGCCGUAUGGCCUUUCACCAUGUAAAUAAACAAGAGGUAAUUUAGGAACUUUUUGAUGGAUAUUCAGGAUGGUUAUUUUUGCAAUUAGCUACAGAAGAUUUUGAGAGAUCAAAGAAUGGGAGUAGGAUGCUUUCCGUGUCAGUUGCUUCCAAAGAAAUGCUCCUUCCAUAUUGCCAAAGCUGGAGGAAGGGGUGUUUUGCUGCUGAUCUCUAAUACUGGCUUUGUCUUUUUUUUUUUUUAAUUUUAAUUGGGGUAUAGCUGAUUACCAGUGUUACGUCUGGCUUUGUCUUUUUAUUUUAAUUAAUUAAUUAAUUAAUUUUUGGUUGCAUUGUGUCUUCCUUGCAGUGCGCGGGCUUCUCAUUGUGGUGACUUCUCUUGCUGCAGAGCACGGGCUCUAGGCGCACGGGCUCAGUAGCUGUGGCCCAUGGGCUUAGUUGCUCUGCAGCAUGUGGGAUCUUCCCGGACCAGGGCUUGAACCCAUGUCCCCUGCAUUGGCAGGUGGAUUCUUAACCACUGUGCCACCUGGGAAGUCCUGUCUGGCUUUGUCUUUAACCAGAAACUUGUAGGAGAAGUGUUCUAAACCUUUGGCACCUACUCGCACUUGUCUGUUUUAGAAUCUAGUAUAAGAUGGAAUUCGUUUUAGCAUGAUAUUAUGAAUUGUCACGUUAGGCUUCAUGUAUCUGUGUUUCCUAGUAUUCUGAAGAGAGCAUCGGGGCUGUCACAUGUUGUGUCACCUGAAUUCAAGUUUGAGAACCAGACUUUCGGGCCAGGGGAACAGCAUGAAUUCAGGGGGUGCUGGUUCCAUCCCUGGUCCGGGAAGAACUAAGAUCCCACAUGCCACAAGGUGAGGCCAAAAAAAACAACCAGGCAAAACUAAUCUCUGGCAGAACCGUGAUUGCCUUGGCAGGAGGAAGGGAUGGAUUGGAAACAGGCAGAAAGAAACUUCCUGUAGUGAUGAAAAUGUUCUAUAUGUUGAUGGGGGUGUUUACAUAAUUGUAUACACUUGACAGACUCGUUGUAAACUUGAGAUCUGUGCAUUUCACUGUAUGCAAGCUUUAUCUUAAAAAAACA